UCCACUGCGCCACCUAGCUGCCCCAUCUCCUUUACACUCUUAAAAAUUAUUGAAGAACUCCUCCCCGCAAGAGGAUUUAUUUAUGGGAGUUAGACCUACUGAUAUUUGCCACAUUAGAAAUGAAAAUAUCUUAGAAUUGUGAAAAUCAUUUUGAUCUUACAGACUGCUAAGAGGGUCAUGGUGCUGCCUAAGGCAUCCUGAGAUCCAUACCUGGAGAACUUCUGCUUUACCCAACAGCUUUAGCAAACAAGUUUAGAUCUACAAUGAAUAUGAUCUCAUCAGCUUCCACAAGUUCAAUUAUCAUCUCUACCCAGAUCUGAGUCAAAGAAUUACAGAAUUUCAAAGCUAGAAGAGACUCCAGAAAGGACCUAUUCCAUACCCCAAAAUGACUCCUUCCAUGACAACAUACCCAACAACUGGUCAUCCACGUUCUGCUUAAAAUUUUCCAGUGCUACACAGGUGGGUGAAUGCUACACCUCCGCCUCCUGAGGCAGCUUGUUCUACUUCUGGACCAUUCGAAUUAUUAGGGAGUUUGCCUCUAGGGAAUUUCUACCCAUUGUUCUUGGUACUCUGAUGCCUAACAGAAAUCUAACUCUUCUUCAAACAUCUGAAGACGGCUAUCAUAGAGACCCUGAAUCUUCCUCCUCCUGUGACAUGACUUCAAAGCCUUUUACCAUUCUGACUGCCCUCCUUCUCCAUUCUCUACAGCUAAUCCAUGUCCUUCUUUUAAAAUGUGGAGCCCAGAAUCAAACAAGUACUCCGGAUAUGAUCUAGGGAGGCAAAGCACUGGGCAGUUCUAACCUCUUACUUCCCAGAUGCUAGGUCUCUUAAUGCUUUUUUGGUUACCACAUCACAGUGAUGACUCAUAACGAGCUGCCAGUCCACACCACUUCUUUUUCCAGACAUCCUAGUGCAGGGUUUGAAUGUAGUAGGCACUCAUUUAAAUAUUUCUGAAUUGAAUUACUUGUGUCUUUGCUCUUCAAGUCUGUUUUACUUUUCUUUUAUCUAAUGACUUCUGAUAAUUCUGGAGCCUUGUAUUACAUCGUGGUGUAUAUUUGACCCUUCCUAUCCAAAGAUUCCCUAAAUUUUAUUAUACUGCUAACACUCUAAUCUGAUGCAAAAAAGGUUGGGUUAAAUAGAUGCUCAUUCAUUAGCAAGGGUAUACUGACAUACAAUAUUAAUAGUUCACAAAGAGCUUUACAUAUAUGAAGUCAUUUGAGGCUUGUAACAACCCUGGAGCAUGAGUGUUUCUAUUAUUUUCAUCUUAUAGAUGAAGAAACCUGACCAGGGUCACACUGUCAAUAAGUGUUUGAGGCAGGAUUCAAACUUAGGUCUUUCUGACCAGAUUCCUGACUUUAUUUAGUUUAAACCUCUCUCUUGUUGACAGACAUUUGCUACAGUAUAAUCGAAGUUCAGGAGAAAGAUCUGGAGUUUGAUUAAAUCAUAUAUAAUCAAUCUUUAUUAUUUGUGGAUUCCAGAUUUGCAAAUCUGUCUACUCACUGAAAUUUCUUUUGUAUCCUCAAAUUCAAUGCCCACAGUGCUUUUGUGAUAUUUGGGGACAUGCACAUAACAGGGAAAAAUUUGAAUCACCUGCCCAAAGUGAGUUCAAACAAGGCAAUAUGGCCUUCUUCUUUCAGCUCUCAUAUUGUAAACGUGUCUCCUUCACAUUCUACUUAGCAUCAUGUUUUUCAUUUUGUGUUUUGUUGGUGAUUUUAUUAUUUAAAAUGGCCCCUAAGCUAAGUGCUGCCUAGUCUUUCUAAGCUCAAGAAGGCUGUGAUGUGCCUUAUAGAGAAAAUGUGUUAGAUAAGCUUUCAGGCAUGAUUAUAAUUCUGUUAGCCAUGGGUUCAAUGUUAAUGAAUCGAUAAUAUGGUACAUCCAGAGUAAGGAAGAAGAAAUUUGCUCAUCUAUACGUAAGGCUGCUCUGGAAAGUGCUAAAGUAAAUAUUAGACCUAACCGAGUAUUCGACCAAGGAGCAAUGGUUCAGUAUUCGCUAAUUCAGUGUUCACAGAGACUUUAUAGAAUUUAACUACCUCAAAAGACAAGAAUUAACUGUAAUCAGAACUGGAAGGGAACCCUACUAGCCAUCUAGUUCAACUCCUUCAUUUUACAGAUGAGAAAUAAAUGUCCUAGUUUGUUCUUGUUCAACCCCAUUUGGGGU